rnacentral:lncRNA from 1 species
GGAGUGAUAUGGCUUAGUAAUAGGAGGCAGGAAUAAAUGAGUUGGAUAAAACAGGGUUGCAUUGUGUGGCAGUGUGUUUUUUUCCAGUGUCCAAAGGAAGCCUUGAUGCCUGAUGGGAAAUCCCCAUAGAUUAGCCAAUACAUGGCUGAAUUACUGCAAGAGGAAAUCUGUGGAGAUUUCAUGUGGCUAGCAGGUCUUGGACUUAAUGGAGUUAUGCAUUCAUUCACACAUUCCAGUCUUGUGUAUGUAUAAAACAAUCUCAUGCUAGCUGAAGGUGUGUCAAAUGUUUUAGUCUAGAAUUUCAGGCUAGCAAUGUUGAUGUUUGGCACAUUAUCCUAUUACCUCCAAGCAAGCUAUUCUCUAUAACAUUUGACAGACAGUACAUGAUGAGGUUGAGAUCUGUAAUUUAAUCACUAAGAGUCUGAUGUGAUGUGUACUUUUAUUUAGAAGAGGGCAGAUCCAUCAUCAAGGCUGCAAUUUUAGUCUUAUACUUGACACCAGUCUUCCCAGUGACCCAGUGCAUUAAUGAAUAAUACCUUUCAACCAUUGACCCCUGAAUAUAUUGAAACUGUUCCUCCAUGUCAUGCUCCUUUCAGGCUGUCCAAUAGCAGAGUAAAUGUCAGUAGUGAGUUAGCUUUUGCAGUGACAUUUAUAAUGUUUGAAACAAAGUGCAUUUUAAAUGCCAGUUUAAUUUUUCUUUUACAAAUGAUAGCCAUGAAUUUUCUUCAGACAAGCUGCAAAGCUUAUUUAUUUAUUAUUUAUUAAAUUUGUAUACCACCCUUCAUCUGAAGAUCACAGGGCAGUUUGCAACAUAAACAUACAAAAUGAGAAUACAAAUCAAAAAAAGCUGCCCAGUGUCUAGGUUGUGGUUGUAGCUAGAGUCCAGGUUGGUGAUGAGUUGCAGAGCUUGGCAGGCCGGUAAUAGUGAGGAGUGUGCAGAUGUGACCCAACUUCAGUACCUGGGACAGCGCAAUGUGGUCUAGAACCAAAACUAUGGUUAUCUAGCAGAGGCCCGUCUAGAGAGCAGGUCACCUGGAGCGAUCUUCCAUAUGUGAGCAGAAGUGUGUCUUCUUGGACCUUCGUCCUUGGAGGAGACAAGGGAUAAUGGUCUUGCUUCUGAAAUGUAUUCUCUGGUGAGGCUGGUAUGUUUUUUGCUGUUUCUAGCCCUGAUGUGAUUGUGGAGUUGCUGGUGAGCAGUAAUUGGUAUCCAAGGACAAUGUAAGAAGAAGCAUUAUUGGGAGUAGUAGCCAGAGGAAGCAUGAUCCACUGAGGCUCACCUUCCUUUUCAUCCAAGGAAAUUUGCACAAGAGGGGCUGCCUCACUUAAUCUCUCUUCUAAUGCAAAAAUAUUAAUCUGAGUGUUAGGACACAGCAGCACACACUCUCACUGGACAUAAAGCAGAGGAGAGAGCAGUAUGUAUAUUAUAUGGCCCAGCCUUGCAUGCCUACCUUAAACAGUAAAUUGUUAAAAGAAGAUGAAGAAAUCAAAUACACUUCAGGUACUAACAAUUUUAACUGUUUGUUUAGAACCAUUGCAUCAUCCUGAAAAAUGUUAAGACAAUUUGCUCUCUCUCUUUUUUUUAGGGCAUUACAGGAAUUGGUAAUUAUGUACCUUCAGGAAUGUGCAGAGCUGAUGGAUUAGGACAAUGAUGUACACUUAGGGCAAUACAUUUAAAUUUAAAGUGAAAGGUUUCUGACACAACACAUAUAUUACACAGAGGUUGUUUCAGAGAUGAGUACUUGGACGCAGACCAGUCAUUCAAUUCAUUUUCCUCUGACCUUGAUGCUGUUAAGUUGAUUAAGGAAGCUUAUGGCUGAAACAUAGUUUCUCCACACUCCUAAACUGUCUUGUGGCCACCUAUGUGACAGACCCAGGUCCAGCAUUCUUAUCUUUAUACAGAGAUUGGGGAGUGGGGCAGGUCUGCAUAUCAUGACUGCCACAUGGAGGCAGCACAAAACAAC